AUUGAACGCUGGCGGCAUGCUUUACACAUGCAAGUCGAGCGGCAGCGCGGGGCAACCUGGCGGCGAGCGGCGAACGGGUGCGGAAUACAUCGGAACGUACCCGGAAGUGGGGGAUACCGCCGCGAAAGCGGCGCUAAUACCGCAUAUUCUGUACUCAGGAAAGUGGGGGACCGCAAGGCCUUACGCUUUCGGAGCGGCCGAUGUCCGAUGAGCUAGUUGGUGGGGUAAAGGCUUACCAAGGCGACGAUCGGUAGCUGGUCGGAGGGGCUGAUCAGCCACACUGGGACUGAGACACGGCCCAGACUCCUACGGGAGGCAGCAGUGGGGAAUUUUGGACAAUGGGGGCAACCCUGAUCCAGCCAUGCCGCGUGCGGGAAGAAGGCCUUCGGGUUGUAAACCGCUUUUAGCCGGGAAGAAAAGGCGAAGGUUAAUACCUUUCGUUCUUGACGGUACCGGCGGAAUAAGCACCGGCUAACUACGUGCCAGCAGCCGCCGUAAAAC
rnacentral:rRNA from 1 species